CCCUGAUGAAGGAAGGUGUUUGACAUGUUUGAGUAAAGAGAGGGCUGAUGGGAUGGAAUGGAGGAGAAAGACAGGAGCAGUAGGAGAUGAGGUCAUAGUAGCAGGGAGAGGUCAGGUAGUAGGAACUCUAGAACAGUGUUUUUCCAGUGAGUCAGAUGCAAAGCCAUUGGUGAGAUUUCAAAGAAUCACUCUGGUUCUUCAUAGAGAAUAGACAGUGGGAAGAUCCAGGAGAAACUGAGAGAUAUUUUCUGAUGAGCUCGUGAAAUUUGUGAAAAGCAGCUUCCAGUAGUAGAAGCCUUGUUAAUUGUUACAUCAAGAGAGUCUUCUGUUUGUUAAACUUGUUCUUUUUUUGUGAGUCAAAGCAAAAUGGUAGUUGCAUACUUGAAGCAGGCAGUGUAUACACGAAGCAAGUUGGAGUCUGGAGUCGUGUCAUCAUCCUCAUGGACUUUCUGAAUGCAUUCCGGAAGUGCCAUAAACUCUUGACAUUCCUACA